rnacentral:sRNA from 1 species
UAAUAGCCCAGAUAGUAGCGAUAUCCUUUUUCUUGCUCCUUUAGCAAGGAAAAGAUAUAGCGCAUAGCUGGAAAUAGC